CCGAGCGGCGGCGCCCGGCGCGGGCAGCGCGGGGCAGGGACCGGGACGGGACCGGGACGGGACCGGGACGGGACCGGG
rnacentral:miRNA from 12 species